ACCGAGGCUACCGCGGGAACUACAAUGCCCAAAAUGCGCCAAGAUCAGACGCGCCCAGAGUGGGCCAAAGAAGCGAAGGGGUCUCGGCCGCCAUGUUAGGAGUACCGGGAACAGUCCGCGGAGCCUGGCCGAGGUUUUAGGCAGCGCGCGAGCCGAAUGGUGAUGCGGUGGGGACGAGUCUGUCUACACUAUGAAAGAUGGAAAAUUUCUUCCUGAGGGUGUCUGAAGGGUUAAAAAUACGAUACAUAUUUUGUUUUUCUCCACAGUUAUUCGGAAAACAAAAUUAUUAACUUGUUACUUUGGGUCAUUAAGGAUAUGCCUUUCCGCUCUCUGUUAGUAGUUAGUAGUUAGUAAUAUUACAGCUGAUGGAUGGAUUCUCCUAUCCGGAGAAACUAGGCAGAGUGAUUAAAAAUAAUAAAACGUGGUAGAAAUAGUCUUUCAGAUGUAUACAGAUGAUAACUACAAAAACUUAGAAGAAUCAUCUUCUGUCCUGUUUCUGGGAACAAGUCACAAGAUGAAAGGCUUUGUUUCAUUUUUAACAGAGGUAACAUGUGUUGGUCUCAUUUAUCUAUGCAGUACAACAAUGGGAAAGGCUCAUACAAAUAUUUCUCUUACUCAGAACCACCUUCUUUUCAAAUAAUCGUAAGUAUAGGAAAGGGAAUGAAAUGUUUGCUGUUUUCUUUCAGACCUUCAGUAUAACUGUAGAAGUGUUUUGCAUUUAACAGAGAGAAAACAGUGGACAGCUUUGCAUUUAGCUUAGUUUCAAACUCUUUUUAAUUAUUUUUAGGGAUUGGUGGUUCACUGGUAUGUCUUGUUUUACAAACCUGUAGUGAAUCUUGUUCAUGGUGUAAAAUAUUUCUUUAUAUAAGCAGUAACCUGCAUCUGAUUUCCUGUGGAAGACAGAUUUUUGGGAGUGAGGGCAGAUUGCUUACAAAUCUCGUAGGUGAGAAACUAGACCUAUAUAAUGCAGUGAUUUCUAUAAUUUAUAAUAUGUUUGGGUAGUUUGGAGUUAUUCCAGGCUUAUAUCUAGUGGACAUCUAAUUAAUGAAAUAAAACAUCUAAUUUUUUUUUUAAAGUUCAGUGAUUUAACCUUUAACUUUUAGGGCAGAAAUUCUGCAUUCUUCCUUAGAAAUUUUAUUUACCAAGUUAAUAUUUAAGGAGUUGGUGACACCAGCUUCUAAAAGAAUAACCUUAGUGUCCCAG